UAGAGAUGGACGAUUUCAAGGAUCGGUUAGGCGUUAGGCGUAUAAGAAACCGUGGGGAACCAUGGUCACCUCGAUUAAUUCUUUGUCGAUUCGACGCGGCACGAGGAGAGUUACAGUAAAAAGUUCUUCACCGUGGGGAUGCAAACGACCAGACGGAUGAUUGACGAAGAAAUCGACGGUUUUUGUCACGAAUCGGAUCUUUCCGUAGCGUCAUGCCGAGUAAUUUGAAAGAAAAACGCACCGACAGAUUUCGAAUCUGCAUUUAUUCAUGGACGACGAUCUAGUGGACGGUUCCAGGGAUCGACAGGGUUGCUUGAUUGAAUUGAGGAAUGUCGUCGCGUAAGAACGUUGACGAAGAAGAGGAGCAACGGAACGCGGAAAAUAGGUGGGACGAGCGGAGAAACAAAUCGUAAUGACCGAUGCUACGUAGAAGGAGGAACAGUUAAGAAAGCCUUCCCACGACGAGCAGAGACUCGCUCGACUUCUCGACCGUGUUCGAUCUAAUUUCCUAAAGAUCGGUACGAAUGGCAGAGAUUCGACGAUCAUUUUGCUAAGUUACCAAAAGAGUAUUCAUUGACACGUGUACUCGCUGGUUUCUUGGUACACCAACGUAGCGUUUGAUCAAGGACGAGGAGAAUUUCUCAGAAAGAAUCGUUAAGAGAGCAUCAGGAUCUUUCGGCUCCUCGUUAAAUUACAGAGGACAAUGUCUAAAUCAUCGCUAUCGCCGCAUUUCCUGGAAAUUUACCACCCGAGCGCUUUUACAAGAAUCGUGUUCGCGCGACGAUCACGCAAAUAACCAUCGAUUGUCACGGAUUACGAUAGCAUGAAACAGUCGGUAACUGCGGCCGGAAGUUGGCGAUGGUGGGAGAAUAAUACAGCGAGGCAAGAUUCGAAGAACCGUCGUUACAGCUGCAAUUUCAGAGGAUGUUGUGAGAGAAACAAUCUCCAGACGAAAAAUAUCGCUACCAGAUGAAAGUCAACAGGUUAACCAUUCCCUCGGAGUCUCAUUUUUGUCAGCAACAUUCGAUACUCGGCGGAUAAACGAUAUUACAUUAGCUGGCUGCGCAAACAUCUGCCAAUAUUUCGGCUACAGUGACGCGUGUUCCGCUUCCUGUUCCUGACCGAUCUCCGUUGUUUGCUCGAGGUUGUCUUGACGCACAGGUCACGUCUACUGUGACGCGCUCUUUGAUUAGCCAAAUAUCCUCCGUUCGAAGAUCAUCAAAGUU